rnacentral:tRNA from 1 species
GCCUCGGUAGUCUAAAGGCUUAGGAUGCUCGUACGAAAUACAAGAGAUUCGGGUUCGAUUCCUGGCAGAGGUA